rnacentral:lncRNA from 1 species
AUGUUAUUUUAUUCUAAAAGUAAUAUUUUUAAUUUUUGUAGAGAUGAGUGUCACUAUGUUGCCCAGACUUGUCUGAGACUCCUAGCUUCAAGCAGUCCCCUCGCCUCAGCCUCCCUAACUGCUGGGAUUACGGGCAUGAGCCACUCCACCCAGCCCAGAUUAAAUGCUUUUAUUUCUACCUGCCAUUAUUGGUCUUUACUAAGUGAAGCGACUUCUUUAACAAUAAAUGGAAUUGGUGUACUAAGCAAACAAACAAACAAAAGAAGUACUGGGGCAAAGUGGUCAGUGUUGCUGUGCCACAAAACAAAUGAGAGGGAGACUGUCAUGAGAUAAGGCUGGAGACGCUUACAGGGCUAGAGCAGGGGCUCUGCAUCCUUAGUGCGAGUUACAACCACCUGGAGAUUCAAUAUGUAUCUUAACAUAUGUUUAAUAUAUAUAAUAUACUUAUGUUUAUAUGAUAUAAAUAUUAUAUUUAUCAGUAUAAAUAUUAUAUAUUUAACAUAUAUCAGUAUAUAUAAACAUAAAGAUAAAUAUAUGAUAAAAAUAUAUCAGUAUAUGUUUAUAUAUAUUGAUAUGUACCAGUAUAUAUGAUAUACUAAUAUAUAUUUGUGUAUAUAUCAAUAUAUAUAUAAAUAUGUGACAUGGUAAAAGCCCCAUAAAACUGCAUACCUCAACCAUAUCACGGCUUUCUGUUGAAACUGCUCUCUGUAACCCAAAUGUGAAUAAGUAAUUAAGGACUGUGAUCCCCACCCGACCCAGACAAUGUGUAGAUGAAUGCUAAUCUUGGCUUUUGUGAACCACUCAAGUAACAAUCAGAAUGUCAAAUAGUCCCCUGGCCCUCGGAAUGUCCAGAGCCCCCCUCACCCUCAUCUCGGCCCAGGAGGUGAUUUAGCCCUCGAAAUGACUGAAGCCUUUCAUCCCCAUACCCACUCCUCACCCCCACUCCCAAGGUGGUUUUAUGGGUAUAAAAAGGUCUUGUCACCCUUCUUUCUCGGCCACGGGUUGGGGAGACAUGAGUCCUCCGUGGUCGCCGGCAAUAAACCCUGCAAUUUGGCUUACUUUUGUCUUGGUGUUGAUUAUCUAUGCUUGGUCCAGUAUAACAAUAUAUAUAUAUAUACCGAGGCUCAGACCUUAUCCCAAACGAACUGAAUCAGAAUUCAGUAUUCUGAUUCAGAGUCCUUGGGAUUGGGCCAGCAUGAUUCCUAUAUACAGUCAGGGUUGAGAACUGCUGGGCCAGACCGUGAAAGGCCUUUUCAGCCACGGUCUUUAUCCUGAUCAAUGGAAAGAUCCCAAAAGGCCGUGGGCUCUUUGGCUGAAGGGUGGGGAGUGAUUGGAGGGGCAGGAAUAGAGGCAGAAGAUCCUGUAGGCAGUUAUUGUAGCAAAUCAGUAUGCUACUGGCUCGCUGAGCAUGGCAAGAGACAAGAGCUGGUUCUGUACUUGCUGCUGAGAUUCUCUGGACUGACCCCACUCACUUCCUGAAACCUGCCAUCUUGCUCUGCAUUUUCUUACUCCCUGUUGGUUCCCUCCAGCUGGGCUCUGCCCUCAUAUUCAUCUGCCCUGGAGAGUUUCCUGCUAAUGAAUCCUCCCGGUACCCAUCACUCUUUCUCCUGGGCAGAUGGAUGCAGCCAUUCCAUAUACCUGCAGAGGGUUGCUCUGGCAGAACCUAGGAUUCUAAACUUCUCAAGUACCCUGCAUUUUAAAAUUGUGACUGUAUUUGGCAGCUUUAAUCAAAAAUUGGAAGAACCCUGAAUCUUAACAUUGUGAUUGUAUUUGGCAGUUUUAAUCAAAAAUCGGAAGUACAUGGAAUUAGAACCUUUGGCCAGAGACUCUCAGAGUUGAAAGAGAUAUCUUAGAGAUAGCCUCUUCCAAUCCCUGAAUUUCAUUAUCCAAGAAGAGCCAUGGACUCGGGAGAGUUCAGGACCCAGGUCUGCUAAGGACUUCUGCUUCCCUGGCUUUCCUUCACAUCUUGUUGUCCUAGGGACUUAAGACCAUGAAUUUGCAAAAAUGCUCUGCCUGAAGUGUGUACUGAAGUCCAGAGACAUCACCGGGGAUUCCCAGGGCCGUAAUUAUCAUAAUAAUGUACGAAGGAGAAACUUUCUGUAAAUUUUAACUUCUCUCUUUGAAUUCAGUUUUCUUGCAGUUGCUCCCUCCAGGAGAGCCAGAAGGCUUAUUGCCCCAAGGCAGGAGAGGCUGUGUGAGACCUAGUUUUGAAAGCUUUGAGAUGUGCUGAGAAUUCCUUUAUCGCCAUCAUUAGCAUAUCAAGGGCAAAGCCUAGAGGCUCUUAGGGAUCCCCGAGGUCUGCAAGGGGAAGGCCCGGCCACCAUUGAGAGUGGAGUCAGGGAGGCUCUGGGAGAGCAGCCAGCCCCAUUGGAACCUGGAGAGUCGUGGGAGAGAAGGGAGGAGGUGCUAGAGGUUGGAAGGCCAAUGGGACAGAAGCUUGUUUUCUGAUUUUAAUUCCUGGGCCCAAGGCUGGAAGAUAGGGUGUUGGAACCAUGAGGAUAUUCAUGGCAAGGAGGGGGCUGCUGCCUCUGACCCUGAGGCCCACCUUUGGAAAGGUGUCAGGAGAGUCAGCUGAGGAACCCUAAGUUUUCAGUUUCUCCUGAGUGGCACAGAGGCUGAAUGAACUACCUGAGGGUCUGCCCUGGGCAAGACAAGGUGGCACUCAGGCCAACAGGCCAGCUGGAGGUGACAGCCA